rnacentral:rRNA from 1 species
CACUCCUGCGGGAGGCAGCAGUGGGGAAUUUUGGACAAUGGGCGAAAGCCUGAUCCAGCAAUGCCGCGUGAGUGAAGAAGGCCUUCGGGUUGUAAAGCUCUUUUGUCAGGGAAGAAACGGUGAAAGCUAAUAUCUUUUGCUAAUGACGGUACCUGAAGAAUAAGCACCGGCUAACUACGUGCCAGCAGCCGCGGUAAUACGUAGGGUGCAAGCGUUAAUCGGAAUUACUGGGCGUAAAGCGUGCGCAGGCGGUUUUGUAAGUCUGAUGUGAAAUCCCCGGGCUCAACCUGGGAAUUGCAUUGGAGACUGCAAGGCUAGAAUCUGGCAGAGGGGGGUAGAAUUCAACGUGUAGCAGUGAAAUGCGUAGAUAUGUGGAGGAACACCGAUGGCGAAGGCAGCCCCCUGGGUCAAGAUUGACGCUCAUGCACGAAAGCGUGGGGCGCAAACAGGAUUAGAAACCCCUGUAGUCCC